rnacentral:rRNA from 1 species
UACAGAGGUCUCAAGCGUUGUUCGGAUUCAUUGGGCGUAAAGGGUGCGUAGGUGGCUUGGUAAGUUGAAGGUGAAAUCUCGGAGCUCAACUCCGAAACUGCCUUCAAUACUGCCGGGCUCGAGGACUGUAGAGGAGAAUGGAAUUCACGGUGUAGCAGUGAAAUGCGUAGAUAUCAGGAGGAAUACCGAUGGCGAAGGCAGGUCUCUGGGCUGACACUGACGCUCAUGCACGAAAGCGUGGGGAGCAAACAGG